rnacentral:ncRNA from 1 species
AAGGCGGCAUCCGAAAAGCUUGAAAAGAGUAGAAA